GUGGGCAGCGGCGGACGGGUGAGUAACGCGUAGGAAUUUACCUUGGAGUGGGGGACAACCACUGGAAACGGUGGCUAAUACCGCAUACGCCCAUCUGACAUGAGGUCGGAUGGGGAAAGAUUUAUUGCUCUGGGAUGAUCCUGCGUCGGAUUAGCUUGUUGGUGAGGUAACGGCUCACCAAGGCUGCGAUCCGUAGCUGGUUUGAGAGGAUGAUCAGCCACACUGGGACUGAGACACGGCCCAGACUCCUACGGGAGGCAGCAGUGGGGAAUAUUGCACAAUGGGCGCAAGCCUGAUGCAGCCAUGCCGCGUGAGUGAAGAAGGCCUUAGGGUUGUAAAGCUCUUUCAACGGUGAAGAUGAUGACGGUAGCCGUAGAAGAAGCCCCGGCUAACUCCGUGCCAGCAGCCGCGGUAAUACGGAGGGGGCAAGCGUUGUUCGGAAUUACUGGGCGUAAAGGGCACGUAGGCGGCAAUGCGGGUCAGGUGUGAAAGCCCCGGGCUUAACCUGGGAACUGCACUUGAAACUGCAUUGCUAGAGGACGGAAGAGGAGAAUGGAAUUCCCAGUGUAGAGGUGAAAUUCGUAGAUAUUGGGAAGAACACCAGUGGCGAAACGAUUCUCUGGGUCCGUAUCUGACGCUGAGGUGCGAAAGCGUGGGGGAGCAAAACAGGAUUAGAUACCCUGGUAGUCCACGCCGUAAU
rnacentral:rRNA from 1 species